CAUUAAAUGGCGCCUUUGUUUUGCAAUCUCGCGGUUAGCAGCUAGCUCACCGGAGUACUGUGUACCGAAGUAUUUUAACGAAAUUAUAGAUGUCUAUUGACGUACUAUAUGUACAGUAAUCACCAGACGAGGAGUAGUUGAACCGAAUGUUUCUACCGAAUAGGGAGACCCAUGGAGUCUGCAGUGGAGAGUUCCCCCAUUGUUACAGAAAACAAAGGCAGCACACUGCCUGAAGUGGAGAGUGCGUCCAUUGUUUCAGAAAGAGAGAAACCUAUUCUCUCUGCAGUAGAGACAGUGGAGAGUCCCUCAACCAUUUCAGAAAACAAGGAACUCGCACCUUCCGCAGUGAAGGACAAGGACGUCUCCAUAGUUUCAGAAUGCAAGAAAACUACCCCUUGUGCAGUGGAGACUAACGACAAUGAGGAUAUCACCAUUGUUUCAGAAAACAAGAAACCCACGAAAGCACCGUCAGCAGUGGAGAAUGCCUCUAUCAUUUCAGAAAGUUUGUCACGAGGGCCAUCGCCUGUGGAUCGGUAACAUCGAUCCCAAAAUCACAGAAUGGUGUCAGUCAACAGGUGACAGAAACAAUGAAGAGACCGUUCAACAACAUCAACACCUCGACCCGCCUGCUCGACCCGCAUGCCCAGGCAGGUUUCCCUCACACACACACAGACGACUCCACCCACUCCAUUCACACAAUGAGAGGGGCUGCUGCUGCAGUCUUGAUUAGGCGCUGACAUGUUGACCUGUCUGUCCAUGCUCCAUUGGGGCCCAUUCACGACCAGUGAUGGAUCCAGCAUGUGCUGUCUGAGCUGCAGGUUGUGUGUGGUACUAGACUGGGGGGUCUACAGACUGGACACAGGGCCAUGCCCACACUGUGGAUGCGGAAAAGAUGGAAGGAAGGACCUGGCUGAGAGACAUCACUGCCCUCUUUAACUUACCCUUUACCAGGAAAGACCAGCUUGAAAAGACUGCCUCUUUUACCUCGUGUCCACAUGAGAUAACCAUGAAACAUGACCUCUGGGUCAUGUCAGACAUUGGACCAGUGUAACGGAUGGCUCACCAAUCAAACGGAUGUUUCGUUCUAUCCUUGUCUUCUUUUUGGUGCCCAGUUUGAGAGUGAGUAUUCAGAUCCUCCCUUAAUGACUCACUCCUCAGUCCUCAAAUAGAUGGCCUUAGAGUGGAGGACUUGCAAGUGCUGGGGCCUUUGUUGUUCUUUAGACAUUUAACAGAUGUCUUGCUUGGCUCAGCUUCAUGCUUUCACAGAAGAGCACCCUCAAGCAAGGAAAUCACUCUUCCCCUCAGUGGACCUUUCCUCCCUUCCACCUCCUCCUCCUGCCGACCGGCACGCUUUAUAGCCCCCAGGAGAAGUGCAUUGUGGUCUUGUUAAAGGCCAGAAGUGGUUUGUCCCCUCCCGUGGUCCUUCCUGGUGUAUCAGUCCACUAUCAAUUCCUCAAUCUGUGCCAGCAGGUCGCAGGAAGACCCACCAUUCCAGCCUGCAGAGGGUGGAGUCUGGGAAAGUGAGAAAUUCUCCUUGGAGAGAAAUCUCCAGGGAGGCCAAGGGAAGACAUUAAUACAUCCAGGGCUGUGGCCCAAAUGGCAUCCUAUUCCUUAUAUAGUGCACUACUUUUGACCAGAGUGGUCCCUGGACAAAGGUAGUGCACUAUAUAGUGAACCAUUUGGGAUCCAGCCCAGGACCCCCUGUACUCCCCCUCCUAGGCUACAUACCUUUCUACGAUUAAAUGUAACGGUGCUGGACAAAAACUAUGAAAGUAACUUUGGCCCUAGCUUCUCAACAUAAUUCCCAGGCCGUCUCUCUGUGACUAAGUGAUUAGUCUUCAAAAGGGAACAUGUUGUGACAUAUGCCACUGUGGUUCUAAGCUUGAGAUCAAUAAAUACCUGAUGUUAGACCAAGGCUAAUGUUAGACCAAGGCUAAUGUUAGACCAAGGCUAAUGUUAGACCAAGGCUAAUGUUAGACCAAGGCUAAUGUUAGACUUAGGCUAAUGCCUGACCUGAGGCUCUAUUGCACUGUGAGGAAUUCAACAUCAGCCAAUGUACAGGGAACUGCCAAAAUGAGGGAUACAAAGUGUAUUGAAAGUGUAUUCCACACAGGUGUGGCUCCUGAGUCAAUUAACAUCCCAUUAGGGUCAUGUAUAAAAAUGCCGGGCAGGCCAUUGUUUUGGCUACCAUUGCUAUGCCCCCAUAGGAUGACAAUGCCCCAUCCACAGGGCACAAGUGGUAACUGAUGGUUUGAUGAGCAGAAAAACUCUGCAAACCAUAAGCCAUGGCCGUCACAGUCACCACAUCUCACACCAAUUGAACACUUAUGGGAGAUUCCACCUGAGACAGAGUUUUCCAUCAACAAAACACCAAAUUAUGGAAUUUCUUGUGGAAGAAUGUUGUUGCAUCCCUCCAAUAGAGGUCCAGACACGUGUAGAAUCUAUGUCAAGGUGCAUAGAAGCUAUUCUGGUUCAUGGUGUCCCAACACCCUAUUAAGAAACUUGUUAGUUGUUUCCUUUAUUUUGGCAGUUAGGCUACCUGUGGCUUAACGUCUUGCUUCCAACAUACCUGUGAUGACUAUUAGUGCUGCGCGGGUCAGCUGUUUGUACAACCGCACCCAUCUGCCAUCGCCCGUAUAUAUGUGAUAGGUUAGUUAAGAGAAGGCAGGACGUAUAUAUGUGAUAGGUUAGUUAAGAGAAGGCAGGACGUAUAUAUGUGAUAGGUUAGUUAAGAGAAGGCAGGACGUAUAUAUGUGAUAGGUAAGUUAAGAGAAGGCAGGACGUAUAGUGGGGCAAAAAAAGUAUUUAGUCAGCCACCAAUUGUGCAAGUUCUCCCACUUAAAAAGAUGAGAGGCCUGUAAUUUUCAUCAUAGGUACACUUCAACUACGACAGACAACAUGAGGGGAAAAAAUCCAGAAAAUCACAUUGUAGGAUUUUUAAUGAAUUUAUUCGCAAAUUAUGGUGGAAAAUAAGUAUUUGGUCAAUAACAAAAGUUUAUCUCAAUACUUUGUUAUAUACCCUUUGUUGGCAAUGACAGAGGUCAAAUGUUUUCUGUAAGUCUUCACAAAUUUUUCACACACUGUUGCUGGUAUUUUGGCACAUUCCUCCAUGCAGAUCUCCUCUAUAGCAGUGAUGUUUUGGGGCUGUUGCUGGGCAACACGGACUUUCAACUCCCUCCAAAUAUUUUCUAUGGGGUUGAGAUCUGGAGACUGGCUAGGCCACUCCAGGACCUUGAAAUGCUUCUUACGAAGCCACUCCUUUGUUGCCCGGGCAGUGUGUUUGGGAUCAUUGUCAUGCUGAAAGACCCAGCCACGUUUCAUCUUCAAUGCCCUUGCUGAUGGAAGGAGUUUUUCACUCAAAAUCUCACGAUACAUGACCCCAUUUAUUAUUUCCUUUACACGGAUCAGUCGUCCUGGUCCCUUUGCAGAAAAACAGCCCCAAAGCAUGAUGUUUCCACCCCCAUGCUUCACAGUAGGUAUGGUGUUCUUUGGAUGCAACUCAGCAUUCUUUGUCCUCCAAACACGACGAGUUGAGUUUUUACCAAAAAGUUAUAUUUUGGUUUCAUCUGACCAUAUGACAUUCUCCCAAUAUUCUUCUGGAUCAUCCAAAUGCUCUCUAGCAAACUUCAGACGGGCCUGGACAUGUGCUGGCUGAAGCAGGGGGACACGUCUGGCACUACAGGAUUUGAGUCCCUGGCGGCGUAGUGUGUUACUGAUGGUAGGCUUUGUUACUUUGGUCCCAGCUCUCUGCAAGUCAUUCACUAGGUCCCCCCGUGUGGUUCUGGGAUUUUUGCUCACCGUUCUUGUGAUCAUUUUGACCCCACGGGGUGAGAUCUUGGUUGGAGCCCAGGAUCGAGGGAGAUUAUCAGUGGUCUUGUAUGUCUUCCAUUUCCUAAUAAUUGCUCCCACAGUUGAUUUCUUCAAACCAAGCUGCUUACCUAUUGCAGAUCCAGUCUUCCCAGCCUGGUGCAGGUCUACAAUUUUGUUUCUGGUGUCCUUUGACAGCUCUUUGGUCUUGGCCAUAGUGGAAUUUGGAGUGUGACUAUUUGAGGUUGUGGACAGGUGUCUUUUAUACUGAUAACAAGUUCAAACAGGUGCCAUAACUACAGGUAAUGAGUGGAGGACAGAGGAGCCUCUUGAAGAAGUUACAGGUCUGUGAGAGCCAGAAAUCUUGCUUGUUUGUAGGUGACCAAAUACUUAUUUUCCACCAUAAUUUGCAAAUAA